rnacentral:tRNA from 1 species
GCCCGGAUAGCUCAGUCGGUAGAGCAGGGGAUUGAAAAUCCCCGUGUCCUUGGUUCGAUUCCGAGUCCGGGCACCAAAU